CUCCCAGGUGUAUAUAGACACAGAAGGCACAAUAUGUCUAGAGGAAGAGGCCGAGGAGGAAGAGGGCGCCCAUGACAUACAGAGUAAAACAUCUAAACCUGAUGAUAAUUUCAACGCUGUAAAUGACAAUGAUGAGGAAGACGAUGUGUUGAUGUAUGAAGUGGCCAAACAGCUUGACUUGGUAGAAACAAUAUUCACUGAAGAUAUUCGAAAAGUGGAGGACAUUGAAUUGUCCGGUGAGACCAGAAAUGUCAACAUCUUGUCAAGUGCUCAUAUCUGUACAGCAGUGUUACGACUUCUAUAAAUGGUGCGGUGGAGGAGUCAAACGCAGAGAGCAGCAGCUCAUAUCUCUCAGAGAGUCACUGAUGUCACCCAGCCCAUCAGGGCUCAAAGGCCCCAAUUACCAAACAUAAAGCAAAUUCCACACAUCCUCUCUCUCUCUUUCCCUCUGUUCUGAGUCUCCAUUCCCUCUCUCUCUCUUUCCCUCUGUUAUGACUCAUUACCCUCCCUCUCUCUCUUUCAAUCUGUUCUGACUCUCUACUCUCCUCUGUGAUAUCUAAGUUUUUUUUAAAUAAAAAUGUUCACACAAAGUGAACUGUUUUUGCUUUGUAAUUCUGGGUUAUUGUGGGUUAUUGUGUGUAGAUUAAUGAGGGGGAAACACAUUUAAUCCAUUUUAGAAUAAGUCUGUAAUGUGACAAAAUGUGUAAAAAGUCAAGGGUCUGAAUACUUUCUGAAUGUUACUGUAUAUCAGUAUAUUAGACUCUCUCUCUCUCUCUCUCUCUCUCUCUCUCUCACUGUAUAUCAGUAUAUUAGACUCUCUCUCUCUCUCUCUCGAUGCAGUGAUGUUGUUUUCAUCACUUCUGGUUUAACACACCAUCAAGUGGUGAUUGUCCAAACUGCACCACUGUUACGAUAGAGAAAGUGAGAGAUAGAGAGAGAAGAAAGUGUGGGAGAGAGGCAGAGUGUGGGAGAGAGAGCAGAGUGAGAGAGAAGAAAGUGUGGGAGAGAGAGAGCAGAGUGUGGGAGAGAGAGCAGAGUGAGAGAGAGCAGAGAGAGAGAGCAGAGAGAGAGAGAGCAGACUGUGGGAGAGAGAGAGAGCAGAGAGUGUGGGAGAGAGAGAGAGAGCAGAGAGUGUGGGAGAGAGAGAGAGCAGAGAGAGAGCAGAGAGUAUGGGAGAGAGAGCAGAGAGAGCUGAGAGUGUGGGAGAGAGAGAGAGCAGAGAGAUUGCAGAGAUUGUGGGAGAGAGAGAGAGAGCAGAGAGUGUGGGAGAGAGAGAGCAGAGAGAGAGAGCAGAGAGUGUGGGAGAGAGAGAGCAGAGAGAUUGCAGAGAUUGUGGGAGAGAGAGAGAGAGAGCAGAGUGUGUACAAACACACCCUACAGAGCCCCAGGACAACAGCACAAUUAGACCCAACCAAAUCAUGAGAAAACAAAAAGAUAAUUACUUAACACAUUGGAAAGAAUUAACAAAAAAACAGAGCAAACUAGAAUGCUAUUUGGCCGUACACAGAGAGUACACAGCGGCAGAAUACCUGACCACUGUGACUGACCCAAAAUUAAGGAAAGCUUUGACUAUGUACAGACUCAGUGAGCAUAGCCUUGCUAUUGAGAAAGGCCGCCGUAGGCAGACAUGGCUCUCAAGAGAAGACAGGCUAUGUGCUCACUGCCCACAAAAUGAGGUGGAAACUGACCUGCACUUCCUAACCUCCUGCCCAAUGUAUGACCAUAUUAGAGAGACAUAUUUCCCCAGAUCACACAGAUCCACAAAGAAUUCGAAAACAUAUCCAAUUUUGAAAAACUCCCAUAUCUACUGGGUGAAAUUCCACAGUGUGCCAUCACAGCAGCAAGAUUUGUGACCUGUUGCCACGAGAAAGGGCAACCAGUGAAGAACAAACACCAU